GACAGAGGUGCCAAGCGUUAGGCGGAAUCACUGGGCUUAAAGCGUGUGUAGGCGGAUCGUUAAGUACCUUGUGAAAUCCCACGGCUCAACCGUGGAACUGCUCGGUAUACUGGCGGUCUUGAGCCACCUAGGGGCAACUGGAACAAGCGGUGGAGCGGUGAAAUGCGUAGAUAUCGUCAAGAACACCUAUAGCGAAGGCAGCUUACUAGGCUGUAACUGACGCUCAUGCACGAAAGCGUGGGGAUCAAACAGGA
rnacentral:rRNA from 1 species